rnacentral:rRNA from 5 species
GGGCUGCAGUAUUUUGACUGUACAAAGGUAGCAUAAUCAAUAGUCUCUUAAUUGGUGACUUGUAUGAAAGAUUGGAUGAGAUAUAUACUGUCUCUAAUUAAUUUAUUGAAAUUAAUUUUUUAGUAAAAAAGCUAAAAUAAUUUUAAAAGACGAGAAGACCCUAUAGAGUUUAAUAAUUUAUUUAAUUAUUAUUAAUAUAUAAUUUUUAAAAUUAAAAUUAAAUAAAUUAUUUUGUUGGGGUGAUAAAAAAAUUAAAUUAACUUUUUUUAAUUAUUAACAUUAAUUUAUGAAUAAAUGAUCCAUUUAUAGUGAUUAAAAGAAAAAAUUACCUUAGGGAUAACAGCGUAAUUUUUUUUUUUAGUUCAAAUAGGAAAAAAAGUUUGCGACCUCGAUGUUGGAUUAA